UUUUUUGUCUAUGAUGAUGAAUGUGAUCCCAGCUCUAUGAGAUCUUCACUAUGUGUGAAGGUCAGGGACUAAGAUUUGUUCCACAUUUAUCUGAGCCACCCCUGAAAA